CCCUUAGAUGUUCUGGGCCGCACGCGUGCUACACUGAGUGGAUCAGCGGGUCAGGUUGCGCGAAAGCGUUUCCUAAUCUUUAAAUCCGCUCGUGAUGGGGAUUGACGGUUGCAAUUUUCUGUCAUGAACGAGGAAUACCUUGUAAGCGCGGGUCAUCAUCCCGCGCUGAAUACGUCCCUGCCCUUUGUACACACCGCCCGUCGCUACUACCGAUUGAACGGUUUAGUGAGGGCCUCGGAUUGGUCUCGGCCCGCUCUUCACCGGGCGGCGCCGUUGGUCGAGAAGACGCUCGAACUUGAUCGUUUAGAGGAAGUAAAAGUCGUAACA
rnacentral:rRNA from 1 species